GAGACCUCAGGUCAGGCGGGGCUACCCGCUGAAUUUAAGCAUAUCAAUAAGCGGAGGAAAAGAAACUAACAAGGAUUCCCUUAGUAACGGCGAGCGAACCGGGAAGAGCCCACCAUGAGAAUCGGCCGCCCUUGGCGUUCGA
rnacentral:rRNA from 1 species